GUAUGUGGCAUCUAUUUCAUGAUUUUUAUUUUAGAUCGCUUGCAUUUAGUUCAUUGUUGUGUGUUUUGCAUUUCUAGUUGUUAUUUUAUUUUAGUUUUAUUCAUUUUGCCCUUUUAGUUUGUCUAUUCAUUUUUAUUUUGUCAUUUUAGGUUUUUAAUCACUUUUAAGUUUUAGAUUUUAGUUUUUAGUUUUUAGUUUUUAGUUUUUUUAGUUUUUAAGUUUAUAGAGUUUUUAGAAAGAAAAGAAAAAUCAUUUUAGUCAUUUUGUUUUUUUUGCUUUCUUGAAAGAAAAAUGAAAAUGCAAAAUCAUAAAAAGGAGAAAAAAGAAAUUAAAGAAAAAGAGGAAAAGAAGAAAAAUUCAAAAAAAUAGGUUUUAGAUGGAUUGGAAAAAUGAAAAAAAGAGGAAAAAGGAAAAAGGAAAAAUUGUUCACCAAAAUAUGUUUAUUUCUUUAAAUUCAAUCUUUGGGCACUUUAGUUAUUUUUAUUAAGUUAUUUUGAGAGAAAGAAAAUGAUGAAAAGAGAAAAAUUGAAAAUUAAAAAAUGGCCAUUUUUGCUUAGUGUUUUGUUUAAAAUUAUUUUUGUUUUGUUAUAAUUAUUAUUACCUGGUUUGUGUAAUUUUGUUAUUAUUUAUUUUAUCAUUUCUGUAAUUAUCAAGUUGUAUUAGUUUUCUUGAAAAAAAAAAAAAAAAAAAAAAAAAA
rnacentral:lncRNA from 1 species